rnacentral:misc_RNA from 1 species
GCUCAACCAUCAUCAAAACGUCAGAAUAAAAAGAAAAAUUGGGUUAAAGUUGGUCAUGAUUCUUAUAAUUCCACUCCAAAUGCGAAAGUUUCAUAUGCGCCAUCAUCUUCACAGUUUACUAUAUUUUCUGGAGCUUCAUUGCCUUCGUCCCCUACUCUGGCAAAGAAAGUUGGUCUAUCCACUCCAUUCCACAUGAUUGGAGAUAAUUCUGAGGGGCUUAGAGGACAGGAGAUGAAGCAGGAGUCUGAUUUGAUUUCUGCCGCAUCAGUUGCAGCUCAGGAAGCAUGUGAA